AGCGCAGCUCAGCGCGGAGACGACGGAGGCAACGCCCGUCGCUCCGGGGCAACGCGACCCGAAGGGUCCCAUUGACCGGCAGCGGUGUGCGGGCAGAGCCCCUCGGGCACCCCGAGCUCCCCGGCUGCAGCAGCCGUACCGCUCCCGAGUGUGGUCCCCGCCCUCCUCCCGAGCCCGUAUGGAGGCACACAGCCUGGGGCUCGUUUCCCGUCCAAAGCCGCCGUGUAAGGGGUGCUGUGAAGGAGACCCGGACACCUUCAUAUCUCAAUUUUUCUUCCUUAGACAGGAAAUAUGUGUGUGGAAGGGAGGCGUGGGUCGAGAUCGUAAAUUUCAUUGAUUACUUGCAGACUGUACAGAGGAUAUUCAAGCUUUCAUGACAGCUUCUGGAGACAUAACGACUGGACAAUAUUGCCCGAACAGUACAAAGUCUCUUUAACUACUACAAAGAAAUCAGCAGGUGCGGUUUCCCCCCGGGCUGUCGGGGCCGAGACGAGGCAGAGGGACCCGUGCGGAUGUGCGUGGUGGUCCCGCACCGCCCGUCCCGCAGCCCCGUGCCGGCUCUCCCUGCCCGAGGGGAGCAGCAGCGGAUCCCACCCCGCUUCGCCGUGAAUUACCGCCUGGCCUUGGAGUUCUCUUCGCCUCCAGACAUAGGCUCCUGACUAAACCGUGCCGUGCAAAUAAAACGCAGGGGGAGAGAAGGAGGGGAAGUUGUGUUUCCCAAAACUGAAAGACAGUAAAAAAAGGUCGUCAAAAAUAUCCAGAUGAAGACAGUAAAGGUAAAUCAAAGCAGAA